UUGAUUCUGGCUCAGGACGAACGCUGGCGGCGUGCUUAACACAUGCAAGUCGAACGGGGUGUUUAUUUCGGUAAACAUCAAGUGGCGAACGGGUGAGUAACGCGUAAGCAAUCUACCUUCAAGAUGGGGACAACACUUCGAAAGGGGUGCUAAUACCGAAUGAAUGUAAGAGUAUCGCAUGAGACACUUACUAAAGGAGGCCUCUGAAAAUGCUUCCGCUUGAAGAUGAGCUUGCGUCUGAUUAGCUAGUUGGUGAGGGUAAAGGCCCACCAAGGCGACGAUCAGUAGCCGGUCUGAGAGGAUGAACGGCCACAUUGGGACUGAGACACGGCCCAGACUCCUACGGGAGGCAGCAGUGGGGAAUCUUCCGCAAUGGGCGAAAGCCUGACGGAGCAACGCCGCGUGAACGAUGAAGGUCUUAGGAUCGUAAAGUUCUGUUGUUAGGGACGAAGGGUAAGAAUCAUAAUAAGGUUUUUAUUUGACGGUACCUAACGAGGAAGCCACGGCUAACUACGUGCCAGCAGCCGCGGUAAUACGUAGGCGGCAAGCGUUGUCCGGAAUUAUUGGGCGUAAAGGGAGCGCAGGCGGGAAACUAAGCGGAUCUUAAAAGUGCGGGGCUCAACCCCGUGAUGGGGUCCGAACUGGUUUUCUUGAGUGCAGGAGAGGAAAGCGGAAUUCCCAGUGUAGCGGUGAAAUGCGUAGAUAUUGGGAAGAACACCAGUGGCGAAGGCGGCUUUCUGGACUGUAACUGACGCUGAGGCUCGAAAGCUAGGGUAGCGAACGGGAUUAGAUACCCCGGUAGUCCUAGCCGUAAACGAUGGAUACUAGGUGUGGGAGGUAUCGACCCCUUCCGUGCCUGAGUUAACGCAAUAAGUAUCCCGCCUGGGGAGUACGGCCGCAAGGUUGCAACUCAAAUGAAUUGACGG
rnacentral:rRNA from 1 species